UCUCUAUUGCUACUGGUAAGAGUUCUUGUUCUCAGAUGAUUAUUAACUUAAGGUCGAAAUUGUAGUUACGGUUUAUGUGAAUAUAGAGAAGCAAAGACAGAGAUUUUUGGGGCAAAGCACCUAGCUUUGCUAAUUUCAGGCGAAUUUGAAUUGUAAAUUAGUAACUUGCUCAUAUAUUUGCAAUGUUAGCUAGAGAGACAUAACAUCUUGCAAAAUCCUACAAUGUUGGAGAAACAUCUUCUUGUCUCUUGGCAAAGUAUAGGUAAUGAUUUUGUCUCUUGAGUAAAUCGUUUGGGUAAAACCUUGUCUUAUUUGUCAUUGUGUAAUGUUAUUAUGAUAGAUGAAGCUCAUGAGAGAUCUAUGUUAUGUUGCUGAAAGUCAUAAUUGUACUUUCAGAAACUUCUAUAAUCACUUCAGGCGUCAUCCUGAGCUAUGUCAAGACAGGAUCCUGGACCAAAGUUGGUACCUGCAAUCUUAUCUGUUGAGCUAUAAUUGUACUUUCUUCAGUGUGAAAAUUUACUAUGUUGAGGAACCUGUAUCAGCUUAUAUCCGAUCACUUGUUUCAACGAUAUUGUUGAUAAAUGAGCGGCUACUUUGAUUUGAUCUUCUUAUAACCAUCUCAUGUGUUCUUAUAACCAUCUUUUAGUAUAUAACCAUUGGCCUGGGAAGUGUGUUACAGGUAACUCUAUCCGUUUAUAAAAGUGACAGAAUUGUGUCUGAUAUAGUGGUUUAGUGCUCAUUAAUCCUCUUCCUGAUAUUCUUAUGGUAAAUAGGCUUUACACCGAAGAUUAUCUUCUCGAUGCAGAGGUCGAAUCUUGUUUCUACUGUAAAACAGCUAAAAGCUUUAGGCAUAGAUAAUAUCUUGGUUUCGAAUGGCCUGCACCUCCGUUACAUAAAACAAUGAUCCGAGCACUUGAAGUACUUUAUUCACUUCAGAUCUUCCCGAUGAUGAUGCUAAACUCACUUCGCCAACAGGAUUCCAAGUUGCAGAACUUCCACUGGUACUUUUUCUUCCUGACCUUGAGUUAUUAUAUACCUAAGAUGUAAUGUUCAUUUGCAGUUUCUACAUGUCUCCAUUUCAUCGUCGAAAAUGAUUUUGGCUUCAAGUGAGCUUGGUUGUUCUGAUGAGAUCAUUGCAACCACUGCAGUUCUCUCUAUCCUAGUAAAACCCCUUUUUCAUUGCAACGGAUGCAAUCUUAAACAUAUUACUUUGCAGUCCGUUUGGGUCAUUGCCAGAACAAGAUGAAGCAAAACUGAGAUUUUCAGCCGCAGAGGUAUAUAUUGCUAUAGAACUAUAUCUGUGGAAAUCUUUUUUGACUGAUGAGUGAAAUCAUUGUUCUUGUCUAUAUAGGGUGAGCAUGUCACAUUCCUGAAUGUAUACAAAGGGUUUCUUUGAGUCGGAAAAGCCUUACAAGAAUUUCGCAGAAAAAAGUAGUUGAAACCAGGGAACACCUUGAAACCAUGUGACAGAGACAUGUAGAUUUUGAUUUCUGGGAUUGAGGUAUGGUUUGGUGGUGUGUCAGCCUAAGUUGUUGGUUGCACUAUUAGAGCAUGAAGAAUGCCCCAAGUAAAGAUGAAAAGGCUGCUGGAAAUAAAAAAGGUUCUUGGUGUUCUUUGGGUAAAAAUGGAUCAAUUGGAGUGGCUGCAAGAAGAAAGAAGAUGUGUCUCAAGUUCUGACACACUUUCUCAAGUAAGGAGCCAUGAUUUAACAUUUUGAUACGGAAGAACAGGGAAUUGGAUCAAAAAUCAGUGGAGAAUGGUUUUAGUUCUGAAAGGUUGAAGGUUUCUAAAAUAUGUUGCAGAUCUGUGGAAAAAUUUUCAGUGCGAAGUAAGCUAGAGAUGAGAUUAUUGAAGUGGUUCAGUGGGAUUCUCAGAAGAAGAAAAUGAAAGAGACAUGUACAAGUAAAUGUAUCCCAAGAGUUGUCUCAAGACUGAUCACUUGAAGAAUGUGAAGGUGUUGUGUAUAUAGCUUGAUGGACAACUUAUCUCAAAGCUAGUGUCAGAAACUGAAGAGGAGUCCUAGAAAGGACGAAAAAUGCAGAGAAAUCAAGCUGCAUUUAGAAAGACAACAACUCAGGAGUGUAAAGCUGUCUUGGUUGCAUCAUGAGGAGACUACAUACAUAAGAAGAAGAAGUCAUUGUUCUCUGUGUCUGUUCUUGUAAUGAUACAGAGAUAAAUAGAGCUUCCCUUUUCUCUUCCUCUAUUUCUGAUAUCACAUUUGUCUGCAGCUCCACUAUCUUUUCCAGCUCUUUCAACUCUAGUCAUCAGACACAAGCUCAGUAUCUUUGACACACACCUGGAUAUAUCUCUUGAUCCACGUUUUAUUUAGAUGGAAUAUUGAUCAA